AUGCGCCCUCUUCUGUGCCAUCUCCCGUGCACCUCUUGCGCGCUUUUCUAUGCGCCUCUUCUCCCUCUCCUGCGUCCUCUCCCGUGCGCUCCUCUGCGCGCUUUUCUGCGCCAUUUCCCGUGCACUUCUUGCGCGCUCCUCUGUGCGCCUUUUCCCCCUCUUCUGCGCCAUCUCCAGUGCUCUCCUCUGCACGCUUUUCUGCCUCUCCCAUGCGCCUCAUGCGCCCAAUUCUGCGCCAUCUCCAGUGCUCUCCUCUGCACGCUUUUCUGCGGCAUCUCCCGUGCGCCUCAUGCGCCCAAUUCUGCGCCCUCUCCUGUGCGCCUCUCCCUUGUGCUUUUUGCGCGUUCAUCUGCGCGCUCUUCGCUUUGCCUCUUGCGCUCCCUACAGCGCUGUCUCCCAUGCACCUCUUGCGCGCUCUUCUGGGCACUCCUUUGCCUCUUGUGCUCUUUUCUGUGCACUUCUAUGCGCCCUUUCCUGCGCCAUCUCCCGGGUAUUUCUUGUGCCGCCUUUUGCGCUCUCUGCUCUGCGCCUUUUGCGCUCUCUGCUCUGCGCCUUUUGCGCUCUCUGCUCUGCGCCUUUUGCGCUCUCUGCUCUGCGCCUUUUGCGCUCUCUGCUCUGCGCCUUUUGCGCUCUCUGCUCUGCGCCUUUUGCGCUCUCUGCUCUGCGCCUUUUGCGCUCUCUGCUCUGCGCCUUUUGCGCUCUCUGCUCUGCGCCUUUUGCGCUCUCUGCUCUGCGCCUUUCCCCUUCUGUGCCGUCUACCGUGCGCUCUUCUGCGCCAUCUUUCAUGCGCGUCUUGCGCCCUCGUCUGCGCCCUCUCUCUUAUGCUUCUUGCGCCCUAUUCGGUGCGCUUUUUGCGCGCUCUGCUGCGCCCUUUCUUAUGGUGUCUUUGAAUUGAGCGCCGGGGCUGGGUCCGGGAAGCAUCAGUGUGGACAGGUGGGUCAGCCUGUGAGCCCCCCCCGGGACAGGAUCCGAGAGUCGCCGCCAAGGGAGGGGCGAGGUGCUGGUAUCGUCGUGCGGCCCUCGACGGCUCUAGAAUGGAAGUCUCUCCAGGGCAGGAUUGUGCCGCCGUCAGCCAAUUGUCGGGGGACUCCUUUUGGGGGCUUCUCCCUUGCUGUACCCCAAGAGUCGAGUCUCUCCUUCCACCCCCAUGGGGCUCCAUUAUGGCUCCCUAAAAGCCUAGGUAUGAGUUGGGGCUCAGAGCCCUACCCGCGUGGAGUAGAUUGUACGCUUAAAAUGAGCAGGGAAUGCAUCUGUUAA
rnacentral:lncRNA from 1 species